UGCGGGGUGGAGCAGUUCGGUAGCUCGUCAGG
rnacentral:tRNA from 1 species